GUUGAAUCAGAUAAUUGAAUUGCUUCCCUGCCUUGAAAUGGGAAAGUCUCCCAUUUCCAGUGCUGGUCCCGGACCUCUCAUGCCUCUGGCCACCUGCUGCUGUGAUCUACAGUGAUACCCUUGGGGGAAAUUCCUUGGCAGUCCAGUGGUUAGAACUUGGCACUUUCACUGUCAUGGCCCUGGUUCAAUCCUCGGUGGAGAAAUAAGAUUCCACAAGCCACGAAGAGUAGCCAAAAACAAAAAGCGAACAGUUUCUUGGCUCCUCCCUUACUUCUUCAGAACAGUCCCCUCGGAGCUAUCUGAGAGGCUGUAUGCCAGUCUUAAGUCCUCA
ensembl:lncRNA